CGCGCAGGCGGGUUAGUAAGUCAGAGGUGAAAUCCUACAGCUCAACUGUAGAACUGCCUUUGAUACUGCUAAUCUUGAGUAUGGAAGAGAGAGACGGAAUUCCAGGUGUAGUGGUGAAAUACGUAGAUAUCUGGAAGAACACCAGUUGCGAAGGCGGUCUCUUGGUCCAAUACUGACGCUGAGGCGCGAAAGCGUGGGUAGCAAACA
rnacentral:rRNA from 1 species